CAAGGAUCGCCCCCCGUCAGCGCGUUGCGCCCACGGGGGUGAUUG
rnacentral:sRNA from 1 species